rnacentral:misc_RNA from 1 species
CAAUAAGAGUGUUUAUGGCACUCUUCAAAAAUCCAUACCCACCUUGUGUGCAACGUAAAAAGAAAAAAGAAAGAUGCGAGUCAUGAGGGGAACCUCGAGUCUUGCUCCCUCUCUCUUUUUUCUUUCCACAUACACCUUUCUAUUAGUUCCUAUUGUCUGAAGCUGUUAGAGAAUGACUAAUUCUUAAACA